UCAAGUUUAUCUCUUGUGGACAAUAUAUUGUUGCAAUUUUUAAAAACCCAAACUGAGUCUUUAUCCUUGUUUUGUGGGUUUAACCCACUUAAAUUUAUUGAAACUGCUUUUAUAAUAGGACCCGUUUCUGCCUUCUUAUUUCAUUCUCUCCAUCGACUGUGAUUUAUUUAAAAAUGAGUUAUUUUCCUAUUUUCCUUUGGAGAGAGUUUUAUUUUGCUGGUGAAGGGUAUACCUUCCAUUUCCUUAACUGAAGACCCAUAUUUAUAUUGAUUUACUCCACUUGCUGCCUCAGACCUAUCAACAUCUGCCUGUUGCCUCCUUGAGACAAGUACUCAACCCUCCUUUCACGGCCCUCUGCUCUCUCCUCCUCACCCCAAGUUGGUGUUGUCUAAAAUGUUAUUUUCCAAUUGUCAUGGAUACGUUUUCUCUUUCUCUUCAUUUUGGUUCUAGCCGCUUUUUUUUAAAGGAUAAAAACAGACUUUGCCAUGGUGCUUGCUCACGCUUACUUCCUCACCUCUUGCAGCAUCUCCUGAAUUUGUUUUUCAUCUUAACCGAGUACUUCCUCCAAGAGCGUUUUCAGUGGGGAUCUCUGCAUGUGGCAAACCUUCUGAGGUCUUAGAAGUCCCAAAGCAUCGUGAUCUCACAUUUGGAUGACACUUUGGCUGGAUAUAAAAUUCUAGGGCCCUCCCUCGAGAGGGUACUGCCACUGCACGGAGAGUGUCUGCCCCGCCACUUCAUGAAACUCUUCAGGCAUGACUGUCUUUCCCCAGGAACCUGGAUAACAAGCUCUCAGUUCAGGGCCCUGGCCGGACCCAGCCACACCUCUCCCAGGGCCAGGGAAAGGGGACAGGGAGCAACUUCUGAUGCCCACAUCCAGAACACGGUCUUCAAAGCCAGCCCUCUGGUCACAGAGUCACCCUGCUCCCUGCCCCACCCUCUCCUUCACCCCCUCCAUCUCACCUGAGGCCAGGAGCACCAGGAGGACAGGUGGCAGGAGCAGGUGUGGGGCUCCCCAAGCCAUGUCAUCCCCAGCCUGUUUUUGACAAUGGAGGAGUGGAGAAAAGGGGAGCCCUCUGGGGAGAGAAAACCAGAAGCUGGGCCUGAUUCUGCCUCAGUUUCCCAGCCUCUCUCAGUUGGAAGAACUGAGAAAGAGCAACACCUUGACUGGGGAAGCCAUUGGCCUGAGCGGCGGGCUGUGUGGGCAGAGGGGAGGGAGGGGCAGCCAGGCCUGCAUGGGGGGCCACCAGCUGCAGGGUCUGUCUCUGGGCCUGGAGACCUCAGCCCUGUCUCAGUUGUUCUCUUUGCCCAACUUCUCCCCAUCUCCAUCACUCCACACCUUUCCCUCUCUCACAGUCCUUCAUUGUUGCUGGGGAAAGCUCGGAGAAUGUCCAAGAAGAAACUGUGGGGAAAUAAGAGGCUGUUCCUCCUUUCUUUCUCUCUGUGCACUGCCUGUGAAUGGUCAGAGGGCCAAGAAGGCCUGACCAGAGACCUGACUCCCUCUGGGCCUCAGGCAAGACAGGGACCCCACUCCCAGGCAUGAUGGGUCAAUGAUGUGUUUUCGCCCUGGGAGUGUUUGAGCGGGGGACAGAGUUUCCAUUCCAGGAGCUAUAAGAAUGGUCCCUGGGAAAAGUGGGGCCAGGAGGGAUGGGAGAAAGAGAGCACUGAGCAAGGAGUAUCAGAGGGGAAGGCAGGAGGGAGCAGAUCAGUUAGGGGGAGAAAGCAGAGUGAGGAGUCAGCCUCAUCUCUGUAUCUUCAGUUCUCACUCCUCAAAGGUGCUCAGUCAGUGUCGGGUGGAGGAAUACAUGAGUGGGCGAAAAGAUGACAAAUCCUUUCAUUGUAACAACGUGUGUGUAAAAAUGUGUGGAGGAACAAAACAGCCAAAAUUGGAACAACCUGAGCAAGAAAAUUAAGUGGUAUGGAAUUAAAACCCAAAGUAUAAAAUAAAUAUCCAUGACUCCAUACCGAUAUAAUAAACGAUUGAAUAAAUAAAAUAGUGGGGGAAAUAGGCACAUCUCCCAUGCAGAGGAAUUCCAAAUAGUUGAUGUAGAUCUCUGCCCUCACGGAGGGGCAGCGUCACUCCCGCCCCUUCAGUGUGGGCUGUGCACAGUAACUUUCCUCCAAAGAGGACAGCAUGGAUGGGGGGAAAGAGUCACUUUACAGUGGAGAACCUGACAGCCACCCACCAGUCUGGUGACCAAGGUCAACAUCAACAGUCAUAAGUCACGUUGAUGGCAUGUGCCCUUGACAUGAUGCGAUGAGAAGGACACUUGACCACUCUGGUCUUCCUCCCCCAAAACCCUAAGCCCAUGAGAAGAAACACCAAACAACUCUUGAGUGAGGGACAUUACUAAUCCCUGACCGGCCCUCCCCAAAGCUGUCAAAGUCUUCAAAGAUAAGGAACUACUGAGAAACUGUCACAGCCAAGAGGAGCCUAAAGAGAUGUGAUGACUAAAUGUAACGAGGUGUCCUGGAUGGGAUCCUGGAACAGAAAAAGGACAUUAGGUGAAAGCUAAGGAAAUAUGAAUGAAGUAUGGACUUCAGUCAAUAAUAAUACAUCAUUAUUGGUUUGUUAAUUGUGACAAAUGCACCAUACUAAUGUAAGAGAUUACUAAUAGGGGAAACUGGGUGUGGGGUAUCUGGGAACUCUGCAAUGUCUUCAUAACUUUUCUAAAAUCUAAAACUAUCCUAAAAUAAAAGGUUCAUGUAAAAAUG